GGGAGUCCCAUCACAUUUCACCAGAGUCUCACGUUUGGCUGGAUACUUGUCGCACUGGCGUGAGUCGUUGGAUGAUCCUGACACUAAGAUCAUGAGACCCCAGCAGGUAAAUACACUCUUUGAUAGAUCAAUGACUUAAAAAGGUUGUUUGGCUCAUUGGUGAUAUAUUAUGCAUACAUACAUCUACUUCUUUGAUAGAUCAAGAUGCUUUUUUUAUUGGCUCAUUGUAUCGUUUGGCUGCACAGGCCUAUAAUGGAGUGUGGCUAAGGCAUUACGAGCCAGUGAGAGAAUGAA
rnacentral:lncRNA from 1 species